UACGUAGGGUGCGAGCGUUAAUCGGAAUUACUGGGCGUAAAGCGUGCGCAGGCGGCCAUGCAAGACAGAUGUGAAAGCCCCGGGCUUAACCUGGGAACUGCGUUUGAAACUGGGAGACUUGAGUGUGGCAGAGGGGGGUGGAAUUCCACGUGUAGCAGUGAAAUGCGUAGAUAUGUGGAGGAACACCGAUGGCGAAGGCAGCCCCCUGGGUUAACACUGACGCUCAUGCACGAAAGCGUGGGGAGCAAACAGG
rnacentral:rRNA from 1 species